GAUCUUGCAGGGAACUGCAGCCUACCGAGCGCCCCCUAUCAGCCGACAACAAGAUUAAUAGGAAACAAAUUUUUUUUGCCAUUUUAGAAAAAAGAUAUCUUACAAUACAAACAGUUUUCUUUCUUUUGGAUAUAACUAAUGUCAGACACAAACUAACUUACAACAGAUUUUGUCAUUGCAGCUGCAAAAUUAGGAACUUUAUACAAUACUAUAGUAGCUAUAGGCAUAACAUUUCGUUUGCAUUAAUUCUAUGCAUAGGAAAAAGGCGGUCAUUUUGGAAGAUGAAAACUUGUGGUGUCACACAAAAAUAUGGAUAAAAAACAAUAUCAAGGCAUCUAGACUACUGAUAGAUGGUAUACUGAUAGACGUUAUCUCGCAGAAAACUGAAAAGAGCAGCAAAGAAAGGACAGAACGUAAAAAUCAGCAACUCCGAUGAGAUGGUAAAAAGCAGAUGAACGGGAGAUAAUAAAAUGCAGAUGGACGGCUUCUUUGAUUGUGAAGAGUUUGCUAUUAGUUAUGGGACGAGGGCAUUCCAAGGAAAUGACAUACAUGAGUCUUUGAAGCAGUAUGCCAUUCAUUGCCUAAGUAUAGAGAUUCAACAUUUAAAGAUUAUAGGAAUAAAAAAAGGUGUAGCUCCAGACAGACACUGAAAAGGAAGGCAAAGAUGUUUUCAGACUGACAUAAAGCCCUAGUUUCUACAACUAGAAAUAUAUUCCUAACAGCAAGCACGAAUAUUUCCAGAAUUAUUCCCCUUUACUUGUUUGUUUUAUUUGCAGGGAUGUUUAUGAAAUGAGCUAUGCACGUACAUUAUGAGUUUUCAAUGUUAUGAUGUGGUGGCAUAGAUUUUUUCACAAAUUUUAAUCUUGUUGUAUGUUCUUGAUUAAUCUAGUCAGCUUUUGUUUGUAAAAAAUAAAAUAAAAAUAAAUAAAAUUUA